rnacentral:rRNA from 1 species
UACGUAGGGGGCAAGCGUUGUCCGGAUUCAUUGGGCGUAAAGAGCUCGUAGGCGGUUCGGUAAGUCGGGUGUGAAAUCUCCGUGCUCAACACGGAGCGGCCACCUGAUACUGCCGUGACUCGAGUCCGGUAGGGGAGACUGGUAUUCCUGGUGUAGCGGUGAAAUGCGCAGAUAUCAGGAGGAACACCGGUGGCGAAGGCGGGUCUCUGGGCCGAUACUGACGCUGAGGAGCGAAAGCGUGGGGAGCGAACAGG